GAAUCUAUCAGCGUCUCCCAAGAAGAAAUCACAAGAAACAUAAAUGAAUUGGGAAUAUCUGAGUCUGCUGAAGUUCUCACAGAGAAAGCUAAGCCCACUGUGGAAAAGAAGAUCUACCUACAGCAACUGG